rnacentral:rRNA from 1 species
CCUACGGGCGGCAGCAGUGAGGAAUAUUGGUCAAUGGACGAGAGUCUGAACCAGCCAAGUCGCGUGAAGGAUGACUGCCCUAUGGGUUGUAAACUUCUUUUAUAUGGGAAUAAAACGUUCCACGUGUGGGAUUUUGUAUGUACCAUAUGAAUAAGGAUCGGCUAACUCCGUGCCAGCAGCCGCGGUAAUACGGAGGAUCCGAGCGUUAUCCGGAUUUAUUGGGUUCAAAGGGAGCGUAGGUGGAUUGUUAAGUCAGUUGUGAAAGUUUGCGGCUCAACCGUAAAAUUGCAGUUGAAACUGGCAGUCUUGAGUACAGUAGAGGUGGGCGGAAUGCGUGGUGUAGCGGUGAAAUGCUUAGAUAUCACGAAGAACUCCGAUUGCGAAGACAGUUCACUGGACUGCAACUGACACUGAGGCUCGAAAGUGUGGGUAUCAAACAGGAUUAGAUACCCCUGUAGUC